rnacentral:pre_miRNA from 1 species
GGUGUACUCCCUCCGUUCCGAAUUACUUGUCUUGGAUUUGUCUAGAUACGGAUGUAUCUAGACUCAUUUUAGUGCUAGAUACCUCCGUAUCUAGACAAAUCUAAGACAAGUAAUUCGGAACGGAGGGAGUACAUG